UACGGAGGGUGCAAGCGUUGUUCGGAUUUAUUGGGCGUAAAGCGCGUGUAGGCGGUUUCUUAAGUCUGAUGUGAAAGCCCUGGGCUCAACCCAGGAAGUGCAUUGGAUACUGGGAGACUUGAAUACGGGAGAGGGUAGUGGAAUUCCUAGUGUAGGAGUGAAAUCCGUAGAUAUUCGGUGGAACACCAGUGGCGAAGGCGACUCGCUGGACUGAUACUGACGCUGAGGUGCGAAAGCGUGGGGAGCAAACAGG
rnacentral:rRNA from 1 species